UAAACGGUCCUUUUCAGGGCCACAAACCAUAAAAAUGUUAACAAAA
rfam:Ophiophagus hannah scaffold7550.1, whole genome shotgun sequence.